rnacentral:rRNA from 1 species
CCCGCACAAGCGGUGAGCAUGUGGUUUAAUUCGAUGAUACGCGAGGAACCUUACCUGGCUCAAAUGUAUGUUGACGUAUUCUGAAAGGGAUACUUCUUCGGACAAUAUACAAGGUGCUGCAUGGUUGUCGUCAGCUCGUGCCGUGAGGUGUCGGGUUAAGUCCCAUACGAGCGCAACCCCUAUCAUUAGUUGCCAUCAGGUCAAGCUGGGGACUCUAAUGAAACUGCCUACGCAAGUAGUGAGGAAGUGGGGAUGACGUCAAAUCAGCACGGCCCUUACGUCCAGGGCUACACACGUGCUACAAUGGCCGGUACAAAGGGCAGCUACCUGGUGACAGGAUGCUAAUCUCAAAAAGCCGGUCUCAGUUCGGAUCGGAGUCUGCAACCCGACUCCGUGAAGCUGGAAUCGCUAGUAAUCGCGCAUCAGCCAUGGCGCGGUGAAUACGUUCCCGGGCCUU